AAAAAAAAAAAAAAGAAAGAAAGAGAAGAAGGUGGCCAUUUUCUCCCUCAACUCUCUUUUUUUUUUUUUAAUUUCUUGAAUUUUUUUGCCUUUUCUCAUCUUUCCUCACCUCACCUAGGCCUCGGCCGGGCGCCUAGGCAGCGCUUAGUUGCAGUCACCUUGCCUGGAGGCUUCCCAAGCGAGGCGCCUGGAUUUUGCCUCUCCCGGGCGCCUAGUGACAACAUUGCCUAAGGUAAUUAUUAAACUUUCCACUAGUAGACAUAGAGACCAACCUUUUUCCUUUCUUUUUUUUCUCAAAAAUUCACAUGGAUUAAUGAAGAGUAAAAACAAUCUAUAGGUAAAUUAGAUAUCACACCAUAGGUAGCUUGGGGACCUCAAUGAACAAACAUUUAACAUAUCAAGGCCAAUAGUGCAACUGGAAUCAUUGAUUUCCAAAGCAUACAUCCUUUGGUUAAACAAAGAGUUAAAACAAUUAAUAGGUAAAUUAGAUAUCCCACUCCAAGGUAAGGACUUAUGAAGCCUAGCUUCACCAUAUCAACAUCUAACAAUGUAAUAAAAAUAUUAAAUAGGAAAGGACAUGUUACUAGUUCUCUCACACAAGGUAGUUAGAGAACUCCUAUAACCCAAUUUUACUAAACCAACUCACAAAGUUUAAAUAGGUACCAAACCUUUUGCCUUGUCAAUAUCUAAAAUUGCAAUGCUAUAGUCAAAGAUGCUACUUUUAUGAAUGAAAUGUAAAUAAUUGAAAUAUUAAUUUCACUGGUUAUUAGUUGACUGAAUAACAUCACUCAGUUUAUUUACUUGCAAAAGUUUAGUGAAAGAUGCUAGUUGAAAUUGAUUUAUGAAGACAUUGAACCUAUAAGUAUACCAAGGGUCUUCUAUUUCACUUUUCACAUGAGGUGAAUAUGAAGUUCAUAAUCCAAAUGUUUCCCAUAUUAAAGAUCUGCAGCCAAAAAUAUUAACGCAUUCUCAUAAUCCAAUUUUCUUUCACUGCACUACUACUACUAUGAGAUUUCAGCAAUGGCAAUAUGACCCACUAUAAGAACGAGAUUGAAAUGUAUGCUUGUCCUUAAUUUUAAAAGUAAUUUAGGUGUGACACUGCACCUGAAAAUGUUGUUUUCAAUAAGAAGUCAUAUUUAGGUUCCCUUUCAAGUUAUCGAUGACGAUUGCAAAAGAUUGUAAACUAGUCAUCACUCAUCACAUUAUAUUUUAGUACUAGUAAACCUUGAGACAAAGUUCUCUCCAAUUAAAGGAGUAUGGUUGCAUUAAUUAGCGAAAAAAAAAUUAAUAGAUACCAUUCUUAUAAGUUUAAGUUCAGCCUCAAGUUCAUAAUUUUGAAUUUUUUAUGUAAUACAAUAAUAUAACAAAAGUAAGGCCAAAAACAUAUUUUAACCGUUGAAUUUUACCUUAAAAGUCUAGUGGCACACUAACCUUUAAAAACAUCCUAUCUCACCCCUUUAACUUUUAAAAAAUGAAAUAAAGUGAACCUUACAAUCCUAGUUAGCGUCAAAAUUGAAGGAGAAAUUGGUCUAGUUGAGGAUGUCACUAAGCUUUUUUGGUAAAGAUCAAGAGUUAAUUUAUGUAUUUGACCUUCUUAAAAUUAUUAAAUUAUGAAAGUUCAGUCGUGACAUUUGACAUUUUU
rnacentral:misc_RNA from 1 species